UACGUAGGUGACCAGCGUUGUCCGGAUUUACUGGGCGUAAAGAGCGCGCAGGCGGUCGUUCAAGUCGAGUGUGAAAGCCCCCGGCUCAACUGGGGAGGGUCACUCGAUACUGAUCGACUUGAAGGCAGGAGAGGGGAGCGGAAUUCCCGGUGUAGUGGUGAAAUGCGUAGAUAUCAGGAGGAACACCAAUGGCGAAGGCAGCUCGCUGGGACGGUACUGACGCUGAGGCGCGAAAGCGUGGGGAGCAAACAGG
rnacentral:rRNA from 1 species